rnacentral:rRNA from 1 species
UACGUAGGGCGCAAGCGUUAUCCGGAAUUAUUGGGCGUAAAGAGCUCGUAGGCGGUUUGUCGCGUCUGCCGUGAAAGUCCGGGGCUCAACUCCGGAUCUGCGGUGGGUACGGGCAGACUAGAGUGAUGUAGGGGGAGACUGGAAUUCCUGGUGUAGCGGUGAAAUGCGCAGAUAUCAGGAGGAACACCAAUGGCGAAGGCAGAUCUCUGGGCCGUAACUGACGCUGAGGAGCGAAAGCGUGGGGAGCAAACAGG